CCUACGGGUGGCAGCAGUGAGGAAUAUUGGUCAAUGGGCGGAAGCCUGAACCAGCCAAGUCGCGUGAGGGAUUAAGGCCCUGCGGGUCGUAAACCUCUUUUGCCGGGGAGCAGAGGUCCGGACGUGCCCGGGCCGGGAUAGUACCCGGAGAAAAAGCAUCGGCUAACUCCGUGCCAGCAGCCGCGGUAAUACGGAGGAUGCGAGCGUUAUCCGGAUUUAAUGGGGUAAAGGGGUGCGUAGGCGGGCAUUUAAGCCGGCGGUAAAAUGUCGGGGCUCAACCCCGGCCUGCCGUCGGAACUGGGUGCCUUGAGUGGGCGAGAGGUAUGCGGAAUUCGUGGUGUAGCGGUGAAAUGCAUAGAUAUCACGCAGAACCCCGAUUGCGAAGGCAGCAUACCGGCGCCCUACUGACGCUGAGGCACGAAAGUGCGGGUAUCGAACAGGAUUAGAUACCCCUGUAGUC
rnacentral:rRNA from 1 species